CACGUAGGGUGCGAGCGUUGUCCGGAAUUCUUGGGCGUAAAGAGCUCGUAGGCGGUGUGUCGCGUCGGCCGUGAAAACCUGCAGCUUAACUGUGGGCUUGCGGUCGAUACGGGCAUCACUGGAGUUCGGCAGGGGAGACUGGAAUUCCUGGUGUAGCGGUGAAAUGCGCAGAUAUCAGGAGGAACACCGGUGGCGAAGGCGGGGCUCUGGGCCGAUACUGACGCUGAGGAGCGAAAGCGUGGGGAGCGAACAGG
rnacentral:rRNA from 1 species